AUGCACGAUGGCAGGCAGAGCGCCCAGCUCCUGGUAGGCGCUUCCUCAGCGCUUGUUGAGUUCUUGGUUUCCAUCAGUUGGGACGUCCCAAAGAAAGCGCAGGAGGCGACGGUCGGAGCAGCAGGCAGGAGCGCGGGCCCCCCCAGUGCGGGUGGCGGGGUCGGGGCCCGGCUGGGCGGGCGCGGCGGGGGGUUGGCGCGGGGGGUGGGGGGGGGGGGGGGGGGGGGGGGGGGGGGCCGAGCGGCCCGGGAGGAAGGUGCGGCCGCUCCGGGCGCCACAGGCGCUGCGCGCAGGGCGAGGGGCAGCGGUGGCCGCGGCGGCUCCCAGCCCGCGCCCGACGACGAUCGAGGGACCCCGGCAACUUCUCUGACUCUCCCCGGGCGCCGCCCCGCGUCCCCGCGGUGGGGGCGCGGCGGGGACGGCGUGUGGCCGGCGGGGCGGCCCGCGCGCAGUGCCCAGCGGUGCACCGGAGGUAAGCGGCGGCGGGGCGGGCGGCGGCGGGCGAGCCCGGAUCCCUCCCCGGCGCGCUGCCCGGCCCGGGGCGCUCGGGGCGCUCGGGGCGCGCGGCUCCCGCGGCGGCGGCCGCCCCGCGGGCGGGCCCGGUCCCCAGACCCCGGCUCCCUCCUCUCUUCUCCGCUUUGUUCCCGGGCCCUCCUCCCCCUGCCCCGGGAGCUGCGCCGGGGGUCGCGGCUGCGGAGCGCAGAGGACGCACGAGCCCCGCGCCCCGGGCGCUUCCAUUUCCCCCCGCGCCGUCUGGCCGGGCGGAGACACUUUCCAGAACACUCUGCCACGCGGUGCCCUGGCCACCCCCAGCCCUGCCCGGCGCUGGGCUCCGGUGUCAGCGGGUCCGCGCGCAGAGCCGGGCGGGGGCGGUGCGGGGCGCGGAGCGGGGGACGGGCUGGAGCGCGCGCCGCGGCGGGAGGGGGCGCAGGGCCACCGCGCCGCCCCCCGACGUCCCCGCCGGGCCGGCUCCGGGGCCGCCGAGGUGCCAAGUUUCUGGGAAAGCCGACACGUUGUGUCCCAAGUGGAUCAUAUGUACCAAAAACAGUUUAG
rnacentral:lncRNA from 1 species